UUUGAGGAACUACUUUGACAUCCUUGAGUGGGAUGAAAGCAGUGAAAAGCAAACGUGGAUAAAAGGACCGCCUUUCCUCAACUAUUUCCAACAACAAACAAAAACCACCAAAAAAAAAAAAAAAAAAAUUCAGGUGCUGGGUUUCUAAGGAUCAACAUGCUAAGUAUUUUCUUAUCAACUUCCUUCUUUGUUUUCCCCUCUCUCCUCUUUUAAACAUGACAGUAAUGAGAUGGUUUUCUUUCUCCUCGCCUUAAAAAAAAAAAAAAAAACUGUCAUAUAAACUUCUGCAAACCAAUACAGUGGAAUUUUCUAGAUGUAUCUGUAACCAGCAUGCUAUAUUCCUUAAAGAAAAUAUAAAUGCUAUGAACAGAAACAAACAUUUUCUAAAGCAGUUUUUUGAAGUCUACAAAUAAGAACAGUGUGUCCCCAAGGAAACAAAGUCGAAUCUGGAGUCGCAGCUAAAAUGGCUCUGCCUUAAUCCUCUAUCACCCAGCACCGUGGGGCUGGGCUUACAGGAAACGCCUGUCACUAGGAGUUUCGUGCUUAGUUAUCAACCAGUUUUUAACCGUAUCGCCGCAUCAUCGUCCCAGCCAUACAGAAACAAAUAAAAUACCCAGCUUUUUAAAAAUGGCGUUAACGGAGACGAAGAGAAAGCCGACCUGCUCCCGUCUACCUCCUUCGGGAUAGCAUUUAUCACUAAUUCUGUGGCCAUGUCGGACCUCAAGGAUGGUCAGUCCGCUACCGGAAGAUGGAGUGUCCGAUUUCCUGCAACCCAGAGUAAGAGAUGCCUUUUUCUUCAGCAUCAUCUUCAAAGAGAGCAUCACCUUCACCAGAACGAAACCUGACUGCCAAUGAGCACUCUCUGACUUCCUCAUAUUCAACCACACACAUGUGAUUAAUUUAGAUAUUUUCUAAAGUAUUUAUUUAAAUCCAUUCUCUUCCUGAGUUAGCGUGUAUUCUGCUCAUUCUGCAAUUUCCUUGGAAAACCUUACAUGGAUGAGCAAGCAGUAAGUCUCCUUCCAGAGUACAAAAUGGAUUAUAUGUACUUACAUAGAUAUUAAAAAUAAAAAAGUACAAUUUGAGCUUUCCUUCAAUGA